rnacentral:lncRNA from 1 species
UCAGGCAUCCUUCUUGUAGGAAAUUGUGAUGUAUCAAUUUUGUUUUACACUGGAUCUACACACUCUAUUGUUGCACUUUCAUUUGUUCGUCAUCUUGGAGUGUCUUCUCAUAUAUUAGAUCCUCAUUUAUUUAUUGCUACCUCGAUGGGGAAUUCUGUGAUUAUUUUUGAGCAAGUUUAUGAGUGUCCUUUGAAGUUAAG